rfam:Ovis aries breed Texel chromosome 6, whole genome shotgun sequence.
UGGCUCAGAUGGUAAAGCAUCUGCCUACAAUGCAGGAGACCUGGGUUCGAUCCCUG